rnacentral:rRNA from 1 species
GCUCAGUAACACGUAGCUAACCUACCCUCGGGACGUGAAUACCCCCGGGAAACUGGGGCUAAUUCGCGAUAGGUAUGGAGGCCUGGAAUGGUUCCAUGCCCAAACGCACGGCAGUCAUGUUUGUCGUGUGCCCGAGGAUGGGGCUGCGGCCGAUCAGGCAGUUGGCGAGGUAACGGCUCACCAAACCUUUGACCGGUACGGGCCAUGAAAGUGGUAGCCCGGAUAUGGGCACUGAGACAGGGGCCCAGGCCCUACGGGGCGCAGCAGGCGCGAAAACUCCACAAUGUACGGAAGUACGAUGGGGUUAUCUCGAGUGCAGUCCGAUAAGGGCUGCUUUUCCAUAGAGUAAUAUCCUGUGGGAAUAAGAGGGGGGCAAGACUGUUGUCAGCCGCCGCGGUAACACCAGCCCCUCGAGUGGUGGGGACUAUUAUUUGGUCUAAAGCGUACGUAACUGGCUGUAUCCGUCCUCCGUUAAAUCCAGCGUC